rnacentral:tRNA from 1 species
GAGCCCAUGGCGCAGUGGUAGCGCGUGUGAUUCCAGUUCGGUAUCCACAAGGUCAUCCGUUCAAAUCGGGUUGGGCUCA